GACAGAGGGUGCAAACGUUGUUCGGAAUUACUGGGCGUAAAGCGCGUGUAGGCUGCUUCGAAAGUCGGAUGUGAAAGCCCUGGGCUCAACCUAGGAAGUGCAUUCGAAACUUCGAAGCUUGAGUUCUGGAGAGGAAGGCGGAAUUCUCGGUGUAGAGGUGAAAUUCGUAGAUAUCGAGAGGAACACCGGUGGCGAAGGCGGCCUUCUGGACAGUGACUGACGCUGAGACGCGAAAGCGUGGGGAGCAAACGGG
rnacentral:rRNA from 1 species